GAACGGUUGGCUCAGUUGGAAAGACCACUCGUACCAAACGCGAGAGGUCGCGGGUUCGAGUCCCGCAUCGUUCA